UACGUAGGGUGCAAGCGUUAAUCGGAAUUACUGGGCGUAAAGCGUGCGCAGGCGGUUAUGUAAGACAGAUGUGAAAUGCCCGGGCUUAACCUGGGAACUGCAUUUGUGACUGCAUGGCUAGAAUCUGGCAGAGGGGGGUAGAAUUCCGCGUGUAGCAGUGAAAUGCGUAGAUAUGUGGAGGAACACCGAUGGCGAAGGCAGCCCCCUGGGUCAAGAUUGACGCUCAUGCACGAAAGCGUGGGGAGCAAACAGG
rnacentral:rRNA from 1 species